UACGGAGGAGGCAAGCGUUAUCCGGAAUUAUUGGGCGUAAAGCGUCCGUAGGUGGUUCAGCAAGUCUGCUGUUAAAGCGUGGAGCUUAACUCCAUAAAGGCAGUGGAAACUGAGGGACUAGAGUGCGAUAGGGGCAAGGGGAAUUCCCAGUGUAGCGGUGAAAUGCGUAGAUAUUGGGAAGAACAUCGGUGGCGAAAGCGCCUUGCUGGGUCUGCACUGACACUGAGGGACGAAAGCUAGGGGAGCGAAAGGG
rnacentral:rRNA from 1 species